rnacentral:rRNA from 1 species
GACAGAGGAUGCAAGCGUUAUCCGGAAUGAUUGGGCGUAAAGCGUCUGUAGGUGGCUUUUAAGUCCGCCGUCAAAUCCCAGGCUCAACCCUGGACAGGCGGUGGAACUACCAAGCUGGAGUACGGUAGGGCAGAGGGAAUUUCCGGUGGAGCGGUGAAUGACGUAGAGAUCGGAAAGAACACCAACGGCGAAAGCACUCUGCUGGGCCGACACUGACACUGAGAGACGAAAGCUAGGGGAGCGAAUGGG